rnacentral:lncRNA from 1 species
UUUUUUUUUAUUUUUUGUCUUUUGUCUUUUUAGGGCUGCACCCAUGACAUAUGGAGGUUCCCAGGCUAGGGGGGUCAUAUUGGAGCUGUAGCCUCUGGCCUAUGCCACAGCCACAGCAACACCAGAUCCAAGCCAAGUCUGCCACCUGCACCACAGCUCAUGGCAAUGCCAGGUCCCUUAACCCACUGAGUGAGACCAGGGAUUGAACGUGCAUCCUCAUGGAUGCUAGUUGGGUUCAUUAACCACUGAGCCACGACAGUAACUCCUCAUUGUUGCUGUACUCUUUUGGUCACAUAGCCCAACUCUGGCAUGACUUAGAAGGAAACUACACAAAAGGCUAAAUCCCAGGUUGCCUACUGCACCUGACAGAGGGAAUUCCCUUCAUAUUUCAUCAUAAAUGCUCAUUUUGUCUUGGAAAAAGUUGCUCAAAACUAAAUGAGAUAAACCCCAAAAGCCUGUUAUGACUUAUAUCACAGUGAAUUAGCCAUUUUCAUAAAAUUUUAAUAGUGAUUUUUCCAAUUAGUAAAAUAGGGCAAUAUUUACAUUUAAAUAUAUGUCUAAGUGUAUCCAGCCAGCUUUUAAACUUUUUUUUUUUUAACAUGGAAGGAUUUGAUAUCAGAUUCCAAGUAAUUUAUUUUGACUUUGACAUUAGAAGAGAAAUGGGUGAAAGUUUUAUGUUCUUUCAGAAUAAUAAAAUCUUUAGUAAAUGGCAUGGUAAAUUUUGUCACUGUGCAAUCCAAAUGAAACAAACGAAAUCCAGACUUAUUUUGAGUGAGUUAACUCAACCUGAGCCUAUAGCCCAGCUACUGACUUGGGCGUAAUUAAGUGCUAAUCGCAUGGGUGUGCUAUUUUGUGAGGCAGUAAACCAGUUUCCUGAGUGGAUAAACAAGGAGGUUGAAAGCCAAGGAGCUUAACCUAUCAAGGAACUACAAUUUUCUGGUAGAAAAAGAGCAGACCUACCUGUUUUUGUUAUUAGAAUAAGAGUGAGAAUACCUAAAAAGUGAAAGAAUGGGUCAUUUUUAAAAUUGGCUAAGGAGAAGGAACAUGGCUGAAUGCAGAAAACUGUUUCAUAUGUGUGCACUCUAUAUUGAAUGCCUUCUGUAGUACUCAGCAAUAAAUACACUUGUCUACGUGUCAAAUACUUUCUGUGAACCACCUUUUAUACAAGCACUGAAACCGAUAAAUGUUAGAGUUGAAGUGAGCUAGAGAUUUCAUCUUGUCUACCACCAGUUCCCCAUCUCACUCACACUAAAAACUUUAUAGAGGAGAAAAACAAGAUUCCAAGAGGUUAAGUAAUUUGUCCAAAGCCAUUUAUCUAAUAUAGAAGAGUGAUGAAAAUUCAGAUUCUGUGUCCCAGUUUGGCUUGAAAUUGAAUCUUAAUUACACCCACAGUAUUUGGUACUGGGAGAUUUAAACUCUGUGCAUUUCAGUUUGUCCAUCAGUAAACUAAGAAAAUAGUCUCACCACAUCCAUAAUUUCUAUAAAUACGGGGCAAGCAGCAGAGCUAGGCUUCCCUCAGAGUGUUCUUAUUUUUGAAGGAGAUAAAGUGAGGUGCUAUCAGGAUACAGACCCCCAAACUCAGUUUCUCACAGGUAGUCACAUAUGAGCUCUGCAUAGCCAUGGAAGAUAGUGGUUGAGGUAGGAGACCACAGCAUGCUCAUUUUUCAGACAAAGCAUCUGGGAUUCAAAUUCUUAAGGAAUUUGUGAAGGAUAACAUGACUCCUGACAAAAUUCCCAUCUCAGCUUCUCUACCUCCAAAGUCUUUCUUCCUUUCAUUUACCUCCUUAUGUUGUGAUAUAAGUGAGAAGUCUGUUUUGUAACUGGGAUACUGAAAUUCAGAGUAAAUGAGAUGAUUUGCUCAAGGUCCCAAAGGCAAAUUGGUGAGGCAAGACCUUGAUGGAGGUCAUCUGAUAUUUAGUCCAGUUUACACGUAGCAUUUGGAUGCUGAGGAUGUUAAAAUCCAGUGAGUGAUUCUAGCACUUUCAACAGGCUAGAGUAACUUAUCAAUGAUUCAUUUUCCUCAAACAGUUUCAUUUUCACACAAACCAAGGGGAAAGGAAUGGUUUCAAAUGACCCUGAAGGAGUGCUUCUGUGCAAAUAGUGUAUGUUCUACAGCUUGAAGACAAGUUGACGAUUUAUAGAAAACUUAGCUAACUGUGUGAUGAGUAAACAUGUGGAGUCCGAGCAGCCUGAGGUGAACAUCCUGGUCUGCCUUUUAAAACAAACUCAUUACUGUAUCUUAAUUUGCUUAUCUUCAAAAUGAUUAUGAAGCCAUAUUUAUAUCAAAGGAUUAUAUUGAGGACUAAAUAAGAUUUUGAACAGUUAAGUCCUCGCCAGAUAUUAACAAACAUUUAUUGCUAAAUGCUUCAACAAAAAUUCUGUUUGACUACCUGCAUUUUGGUGGAUUUUGAUGAUAAGAGUUUUUUGGGGGGUUUUUUUGUUUUGUUUCCUUUUGCUUUUUAGGACCAAAUGUGCAGCAUAUGGAAGCUCCCAGGCCAAGGGUUGAAUUGAGGCUGUAGCUGCCAGCCUAUACCACAGCCAUAGCAACGCAGGAUCCAAGGCAUGUCUGUGACCUACACUAUAACUCACGGCAAUGCCAGAUCCUUAACCCGCUGAAGGAGGCUAGGGAUCGAACCCACGUCCUCAUGGGUACUAGUCAGGUUUGUUACCACUGAGCCACAGCAGAAACUCCUGACAAGAGGUAUUUUUUGGGGAGAUAACUUGUCAGUGUAUUCCAUGGAUCUUCCCUUUCAGGUGUGAGGGCAAUGAUUACUAUAGACUCUUUUGAAAUAAUUUAUGUACAAAUCUUCCUUUCUCCCUUUAGAAUCAUAGAUACUUAGGGAUCUCAGGGAAAUUUUAAAAAGGAAUCUAUUGUUAUUUUAUUUUCAAGUAGCCUAUGAAGUUUAGAAUGUAGAGACCUGCCCAGAGUCACAGAGAGUAUGGCAGAACUGGGGCAGAAACCUGGGUUUGUGCUUCCUUGUUCUGCAUUCUCUCCCAGCAAUAUCAUGUUAUCCUUGUGAAAUGAGUACAGCUUAUUUAUUUUCCCAGUCUAUUCUUUGAUUUCAACAAAAUGCAAUAGAGUAGCCGCAUCUCUUUUUAUUGCUAUGGUAGUUAAAGGUAACUCAGAUUUUAAAAUUAUCACUUUUUUAUUUUGGCUAGCCAGAUUUUCCCAGGUUACCUUUAAAUAUGUCAGGAAGCUACACACACACAGACACACACACACACACACACACACACACACACACACAUUUAUAAUGCUAUUUAUAACCAAUAGUAAGCUUGCCUAAGGGAGAUUUAGUUCAUUCUAAUUGGUGAAACACUUUCAAUUUAUUUCUGCUAAACAGGCCUUUGAUAUGGAGAAAUUUAUUGCUCCUCUUUUUUCCUUCUAAAAGAUAAAUACGGUCUGACAUCAGAAGGGACUUCUUGUAAACCGAAGAAAGUUUCCAAAUUGAUUGGUUUUUAUUUGUCCUAACUUGUACUGGGCUUCAGCUCUGACCCAUUCUGUGUGUUUCAAAUAUAUUUUAUUUUAUUUUUACAUCUUUCUUUGGAUGACUGAUCUGUGUCUUUGUUUGUUUCUUCACUAAUUUGUGUUAACUGUGCAUUGUUUAGACCAAAGGAUGAAGUUGGGAGUUUGUACUGCUUAACAAAUUUGCCAGAAGCUGGGCAGGCCAGCUUGCCUCUGUUCAUGGAAAGCAUGAAUGUUUUAUAAUUCAUUCUGGGAAAACUUAUGAACCCAUACAAAAGAACUACUUGCUGUCUUGGACUUUGGACACCACAAAGGACUAUUCAAUUAGAGCUUCCAUUCUGUCAUAACUGAAAACAGUGUUGGGUGAGAAGAUGCUCAUUUGCAAAUGAGUAGUUGGGUAAUAUUCUCUUGAUAAUCCCUUCUUGAUCAAUUCUGUAUGUGCCCCAUUUUAAAAUUUCUUUAUUUUUUUUUAAUUCAUAAAGACUAAUUAUAAUUCAGUUCCAUGCUCAUGGAGAUCUUUUGAAGAAUCCCUUUUCUCCCCAAGAGGUCUUGACUGAGUGGGUUUCCACUGUUGUCUACACUCAUUUUAUGUCUAAUGUUGCAUUUCCAUGUUCCAGAUAAUGAAUUAUGACCUCCCCCCCGCCACGUACUUGAGUUCUACCUAAUGUGAACUCUUGUGAAGACAAGCACAGCCACAAAUGCCCACCUCUCUCUCUCCAACUCCACCUCUAUCGAGUGUAAAUUAGCACAUGCUCUUCUUUAGCCUGACUAAAGGUGUUAUUCAUUCACUCAACAAACUAAGCAUUUGCUUUGUACAUAGCCUUGUAAUUGCAAAGGUGAACAAAACAUGGUCCAUUUAACGGAGGAGACAUGUAGGUUACUAAGGAUGGAGAUAAAGCCAGAGGAAUCUGGAAGACCACAGGCAUUUGUGACACACAUUAUAAAUAUAGUUGGUUUGCCUACUUUGCUUUCACCCACUUCUUUGCUAAAUGUCAUUCUUCAUGAAUUCUGAGUCUCUGCUGGGUGAAAUGUGGAGAGUUAUUCUUGAUGUGAUCUCUGACCAAAAUGCUAGCCCAUAUCAGAUUGCAAAAGAUUUCUACAUUUAUUCUGAGGAAAUUACAUCUUUAGAAAUGUUUAUACAUUUGCCAAGAAUUUUGUAAAUGAUACUUGUUAUUCUUUGUGUGAAGAGAGCUCUGAUCAAUAUAAAAAAGGAGAAAUAUUUUAAAAACUAUUGAAGCAACAGUGGACGCUGAGAUUUCCAAUUGAUGAAACCUAAAGAAUGACAUAUGUAAUGUACUGUCUUUUUUCCCUAUUUAUUUUCUGUUUACUUUCUUAGCAAAUAUGAGUUUAUAUGUUCCAGGGAAGGUAAACUAAGGCAGGCCUUUUCAAAGUGCUCCUGGAGGCUGAGUAGGGCUCAAGGGUUGACUAAUAAAUGAGUGAAGUUAACUCAUAAAGUGUUUUUGUGAAACUGAUAGUUGUUUUUACACAAGUUCUAUAAGAAAAUUUGAAUUAUUAUUUCUGAAUCUAAUUCCUUGUUCUCUUUAUUUAAGGUGUUAUUAUUUCAACCAGUAAAAAUGUAUUUUCCCAAAUGACAUCAAAAACCAUGCCUGGAAAUAGAGUUCAAAUGUUAAGCUAUUAGGCAUAAAUUGAAUUAAAUCUGCCUUACAAUGACCAAAGAACAAUGAUGCUAUGACCCAUCAAUUUUUAAUGGGGUGCCCCUUUUUGUCCUAGUAUGUAAUUUAAAAAGUUAAAUUUACUAUAAUUUUUAGAUCCAAAACCCCAACUCCAGUAUGUUUUAGCAAGUUUAGACUAAUCAAAGACUAGAGUGGGAUAGUUAGGGACAUAGUUUAGAAAGGAGUCUUUCUGACAAAGUUCUUUUCAUUUUAUUUCCUCCAAUUUAGUUCUUACCAAAGUAAGAUGACUAUAUUUUAGAAAUGCAAAGAUUGAGAGAUGAGGCAAUAGAUUUCCUAUGACUUCUUAUAACCCUCCUGUUCAUAUGUAUGGCCUAGCCAGAGACUUUCUACUUGUCAGGGCUCAAUGACCACAAAGAGAUUUGCUAUUUCACAUGUUAUAGCAAGAAUAUUUAGACAGUUUAUAUCUUUCAACAUCUUUCAGCAUAGAAGGUUUUUUUUUUAAUUUUUUUUAUUGUUAUUUCCCCAAUACAAUUUUUUUUCUACUGUACAUCAUGGGGACCCAGUUACACAUACAUGUAUACAUUCUUUUUUCUCCCAUUAUCAUGCUCCAUCAUAAGUGUCUAGACAUAGUUCUUAGUGCUACCCAGCAGGAUCUCAUUGCUAAUCCAUUCCAAAAGCAAUAGUUUGCAUCUAUUAACCCCAAGCUCCCAAUCUAUCCCUCUCCCUCCCUCUCCCCCUCCCCCUAAAGAUGCCAUAGUUUGCUAGAACUGAGGAGGAACAGAAAAAUGAAAUAUGAAUUAAAUUUUCAAGUGACUUUCUGAGUUCUUUUCAUAUUAUAAGAAAAAUAGCAAAUGAUUUCUGAAUUGCUUCCAGUUCAUCAAACAUUGAUGAGCACUUGUGAUUAAUUUUGUUGUACAUUUUACUUAGCAUGAAUAGGAAUUUGAAAAUUGAUUCAAGUUUUGCUUAUAAAAUAACUGCAAAAUGCUUUCUGGAUGUGCUAGUAAUCAGGAUGGUUAUUGAUGACUCUUAGUAGAAAAUGAUCCAGCUCAGACUUAAAGAUUUAUUGGCUCAUCUGAUCAACAUGCAGGCAGGUCCCAUAUAGGUAUUCGAGACAAUUAAGUCCAUAGGCAAAAUUUCUUCUCAGUUUCAGACGUUUUUUGAAAAGCAGAGCAGGAAAUGUUUGAUAUGGUGAUUGUGGUGAUGGUUUUCCAGGUAAAUACACAUUUCAAAACAGAUCAAAUUAUAGCCUUUAAACAUAUGCAUUUAAAUAUAUAAAAUAUAGUUUGAUUAUACCUCAAUACAUCUGGAAAAGGAAGAAAGGAAAGGAAGGAAGG